AACGAACGCUGGUGGCAUGCCUAAUACAUGCAAGUCGAACGAGAUCUUCGGAUCUAGUGGCGCACGGGUGCGUAACGCGUGGGAAUCUGCCCUUGGGUUCGGAAUAACUUCGGGAAACUGAAGCUAAUACCGGAUGAUAACGUAAGUCCAAAGAUUUAUCGCCCAAGGAUGAGCCCGCGUAGGAUUAGCUAGUUGGUAAGGUAAAGGCUUACCAAGGCGACGAUCCUUAGCUGGUCUGAGAGGAUGAUCAGCCACACUGGGACUGAGACACGGCCCAGACUCCUACGGGAGGCAGCAGUAGGGAAUAUUGGACAAUGGGGGCAACCCUGAUCCAGCAAUGCCGCGUGAGUGAUGAAGGCCUUAGGGUUGUAAAGCUCUUUUACCCGGGAUGAUAAUGACAGUACCGGGAGAAUAAGCCCCGGCUAACUCCGUGCCAGCAGCCGCCGCCG
rnacentral:rRNA from 1 species